ensembl:lncRNA
CUCAGACAUGGCAGAAUGCUGAAUUCGAUCUUGCAUGCAAUGGCUGCCAUUGCAGCCUCUGCUGGCAGCUGAGGGAGGCUUUAGGAGUGGUCAGGUACAGUUUCACGAGUUCAUUAAACCUCAGGAGGCUGUUUUCUCCAGCAUGAAUUCAUACUUGAAAUCAUGUACAGCUCCACAGCAAGGAGAUGGUGAGAGACAACCAGAAAGGAGACAUGGUGGGUGGGUGCAGCUUACCUCCAUGAAAUGGGUAUGCUCUACCUGUGGCUGCCAGCACACCUCCACCUCCACAGCUCCUCUGCAAACUUAGUAUGAUUAGAACAUACAUGGAGUGAUCAUAAACUACCUGUUUUCUCAGCCAUUUAGCUAUCUGCAAUGAAGUCUUUAAAAAUUACAAGCUUGGUAGUAUAAAAUAUUGAUCUUUAACCUGUCUGGGCCUGCUCAGUAGUGCUGUGCCACCACUCUUUAUUCUCCAGUAGUUAUAAACAGCAUUCAUCAGACAGUGUUGAGGGGAAGUACAUCUGUCACAUUCAGAGGUGAUCUGCCUCCUCUUUUAUCCAAGCUGGAAGCUCAAGCAAGAGCAGAAGCACAUACGAGUGCAGUACUAUUACCCUCACCGUUACCUCUAUGGCAACUUGAUAUCAGCAAGAUAUCAGGUUGAUAUCAGCACAAGAGCUGGCCCAGAAAAACAUCACUGAAUCCCUGUAUCCAAAGUGUUACUUAGUAAACAGAUGUGUGGUUUUGAGUAUUAUAGGAUGUAUGAUAAAAUAAUAAAAAAAAGCAAGCCUCAAAGUAAACUGAAAUAAAUUUCAUAUAAAAAAUGAGGACUUGAUGGAUAUUUAAUUUGGCUUUGUUUGCAUUUUAAAUUGACGGUAGCAAGGAUGUUCCCUACUCUUCCUUGAAAAGAUAGAUCCCACAAUUCUUGAUAUAUUCCUUCAGUCUGGAGUAUAAUGGGAAGUCAUUCACAUUUCAGCAGUUAAAAGUUAUACUUUUUUCUGGUUUCUUAAGAAAUCACCAAAAAAGUUUCUAUUUCAAAAGUCUGCUUCUACAAAGGAGUGGUGGAGUAGAAUGGAUGUUGCACGCAGAGCUGGCAGGAUGAUGGCCUUGCCAAAGGGAACAUGCUCACUUUUGCCAGUAAUCCAGCCCAGCCCAGGGAUUCAGUUCUGGGCCUGUCUACAGCUCCUGCAACAAGGGAAGAGAUCACCAAUGAGGCUUCUCAUUAAAAAACAAACUAUGCUGUUUAAUUCUAAUUUUCUGUGGGCUGAUAUCAAUAGAAGAAAUCAACUGUGGGCUCUGCACUGUAGCACUGUAGCUGACGAUUUUCUUUUUUUUUCUUUCUUUCUUUUUUUUUUUUUUUUUCCUAAAUGCAAGCAUUUAUCUUUGUUGAUUAUUAUAUUUGCAUAGAUAACUUUAUUUGUGACUUGACUAGUAAAACUCUAAGGAGCUGGACCAUCUGGAGACCAAAGAUAAAAUUACAUUCUAGAGUUAAAAUGCUCCUGGAGUUUGUUCCAGAUGGGCUGCAUAAAAUCAAACUGCUGUAAGAAACGCUGCCAGAAAACAAGUCACUUGACACAUACAACCUUUGCAGUAAAUGUUUAUAUAAAUUAUCAUUUUCAAUAUUGUGUUUUAAUUGCAUAAAGAGCUUUGUGUGUGAAGCAAAACAAUGAGCUUGGUCUUCUGCUAUCAGAAAACCACAGGUUAAAGGAGUUACUGAGAAGAGAACCAACUUGGGUUAGUUUCGUUAUUAUAUCCUUUCUGAAAGGAAUAUAACAUUUGAAUGAAUUUAUUUUUGACUUUUCAUUUCUUGUUCUUACAUAUUGCUUCAAAAUAUUUGUAAGCUUAUAGUCACAGAAACAAGCCUGUACAAGUUGGAGUAAAUAUUCAGUUGU